CUCAGUGAUAAAAUUCCACGUUUGCGGUACCCUAACCGUGCGAAGGUAGCAUAAUCACUUGUCCCCUAAAUAGGGACUAGAAUCAACGGCACCACGAAGGCUGCACUGUCUCUUUUCUCCAAUCAGUGAAACUGAUCUCCCCGUGAAAAAGCGGGAAUCAACUUAUAAGACGAGAAGACCCCAUGGAGCUUUAAGUAAAGUAUUCACCCAGACUCUACUAUACCAACUAAAUAUAGCAGCCUUGAUUACUAACCUUAGGUUGGGAGGACCGCGGAGCAAAACUAAACCUCCACAACAAAAAGGUAAUACCUUUAUCUACGAGUUACGACUCUAGAAUUAAAACAUUUAAUGUCCCAAUGACCCCGACAAUUUCGAUCAACGAACCAAGUUACCCCUGGGGAUAACAGCACAAUCUGCUUUAAAGAGCCCAUAUCGACAAGCAGGUUUAUGACCUCGAUGUUGGAUCAGGGUGUCCCAGUGGUGCAGCCGCUACUAUGGUUUGUUUGUUCAACAAUUAAAACCCUACGUGAUC
rnacentral:rRNA from 1 species